AAUAUUCGACAUUGGGGGCAACCCUGAUCCAGCCAUCCCGCGUGUGUGAAGCACGUCUUCGGAUUGUAAAGCACUUCAAGUUGGGAGGAAGGGCUUUAGGUUAAUACCCUGAAGUUUUGACGUUACCAACAGAAUAAGCACCGGCUAACUCUGUGCCAGCAGCCGCGGUAAUACAGAGGGUGCAAGCGUUAAUCGGAAUUACUGGGCGUAAAGCGCGUGUAGGUGGUUCAGUAAGAUGGAUGUGAAAUCCCCGGGCGUAACCUGGGAACUGCUUUCAUAACUGCUGAGCUAGAGUACGGUAGAGGGUAGUGGAAUUUCCUGUGUAGCGGUGAAAUGCGUAGAUAUAGGAAGGAACACCAGUGGCGAAGGCGACUACCUGGACUGAUACUGACACUGAGGUGCGAAAGCGUGGGGAGCAAACA
rnacentral:rRNA from 1 species